UAUGAUUAGAUUUUUCAGGUCACUAGGCAAAUCUAGUACUUGAAUUGGCUACUUGUGAUAUGAGAAAGUUACAGUUCUGUGAAUACUUAAGCAAAUUAUUUGUGUGCAUACAUUGUAAUAAUGCUUUCGACCUCUUCUGUAAAUGUGUACUGAUUACUAAAAUAGAAAUGAUAAAAGGAAACAAAAUCUAUUAUUAUUUUUAUUAGAUUGUAGCUAAAACAAUUUAUGUUGGAUCAAG
rnacentral:misc_RNA from 1 species